GUCGAGAAUAAUUCACAAUGGGGGAAACCCUGAUGGUGCAACGCCGCGUGGAGGAUGAAGGUCUUCGGAUUGUAAACUCCUGUCAUCUGGGAGUAAGACCUGACGGUGAAUAGCCGGCAGGGUUGAUAGUACCAGAAGAGGAAGGGACGGCUAACUUCGUGCCAGCAGCCGCGGUAAUACGAAGGUCCCAAGCGUUGUUCGGAAUCACUGGGCGUAAAGGGAGCGUAGGCGGCGUGGUAAGUCAGAUGUGAAAUCCCGGGGCUCAACCCCGGAAGUGCAUCCGAUACUGCCAUGCUUGAGGGUUGGAGAGGUAGCUGGAAUUCUCGGUGUAGCAGUGAAAUGCGUGGAUAUCGAGAGGAACACUCGUGGCGAAGGCGAGCUACUGGACAACAUCUGACGCUGAGGCUCGAAGGCUAGGGGAGCAAAAGGGAUUAGAUACCCUAGUAGUCC
rnacentral:rRNA from 1 species